rnacentral:siRNA from 1 species
AGAAAGCUGAUAAAACGUAUCC